rnacentral:rRNA from 1 species
GACAGAGGGUGCAAACGUUGUUCGGAUUUACUGGGCGUAAAGCGCGUGUAGGCGGCUUGGCAAGUCGGAUGUGAAAGCCCACGGCUCAACCGUGGAAGCGCAUCCGAAACGGCCUCGCUCGAGUCUCGGAGAGGAAGGUGGAAUGCUUGGUGUAGAGGUGAAAUUCGUAGAUAUCAAGCAGAACGCCUGCGGCGAAGGCGGCCUUCUGGACGAUGACUGACGCUGAGACGCGAAAGCGUGGGGAGCAAACAGG